UACGGAGGAUCCGAGCGUUAUCCGGAUUUAUUGGGUUUAAAGGGUGCGCAGGCGGAAGAUUAAGUCGGUGGUGAAAUUUUGCAGCUCAACUGUAACAGUGCCAUUGAUACUGGUUUUCUUGAGUGUGGAUGAAGUAGGCGGAAUUUGUGGUGUAGCGGUGAAAUGCAUAGAUAUCACGAGGAACUCCGAUUGCGCAGGCAGCUUACUAAACCAUAACUGACGCUCAGGCACGAAGGCGUGGGGAUCAAACAGGAUUAGA
rnacentral:rRNA from 1 species